AUGUCCGGGCUCAUCAUAAUCCUGAGCAGCGCCGCCAAGAUCACUCACCAGGCGCGGGCCCUCACUGGCCAGACCACCAAGUUGCACGCCUGCUGCACCAUCGAGCCGGUCCCAGACGACGAGAUAGAUCCGGGAUCCAACCAGAACUCCAUGCUGGAAGAGUACCCCGAGGACGAGAGCGACCGCGAGACCGGCGACGAGGACAUGCUGGAGAACACCAAGUUCCUCCAGCCUCACACACACGUGAUCUCCUUCGAAAAGAGGCAGGCACUAGUGACAUACCUGGAGAACAACAAGGCCGGCAUCACCGUGUUCAGAUUCACGCUGGACCUGCCGUACCUCCACACGAUAUUCAUGCUCGAGUGGACGCUCUUCCUGUGGCUGCUGGGGAAAACAGUCGGCUUCUCGUGA
rnacentral:rRNA from 1 species